rnacentral:rRNA from 1 species
AUACGGAGGGUGCAAGCGUUAUUAGGAAUCACUGGGCGUAAAGGACGCGUAGGCGGGUUGGCAAGUCAGAUGAGAAAUCCUACAGCUUAACUGUAGAACUGCAUUUGAAACUGCUAACCUAGAGUAUGGGAGGGGGAGAUGGAAUUAGUGGUGUAGGGGUAAAAUCCGUAGAUAUCACUAGGAAUACCGAAAGCGAAGGCGAUCUCCUGGAACAUAACUGACGCUAAGGCGUGAAAGCGUGGGGAGCAAACAGGAUUAGAAACCCUAGUAGUCC